CCUACGGGAUGCACCAGUGGGGAAUAUUGCACAAUGGGCGCAAGCCUGAUGCAGCCAUGCCGCGUGUAUGAAGAAGGCCUUCGGGUUGUAAAGUACUUUCAGCGGGGAGGAAGGUGUUGUGGUUAAUAACCACAGCAAUUGACGUCACCCGCAGAAGAAGCACCGGCUAACUCCGUGCCAGCAGCCGCGGUAAUACGGAGGGUGCAAGCGUUAAUCGGAAUUACUGGGCGUAAAGCGCACGCAGGCGGUCUGUCAAGUCGGAUGUGAAAUCCCCGGGCUCAACCUGGGAACUGCAUUCGAAACUGGCAGGCUAGAGUCUUGUAGAGGGGGGUAGAAUUCCAGGUGUAGCGGUGAAAUGCGUAGAGAUCUGGAGGAAUACCGGUGGCGAAGGCGGCCCCCUGGACAAAGACUGACGCUCAGGUGCGAAAGCGUGGGGAGCAAACAGGAUUAGAUACCCGAGUAGUC
rnacentral:rRNA from 1 species